CCUGAGAAUCAUGCGUUCUGCCUAUAACACACCCAGUCGAUACCAGCAUUUGGUCCAGCUGGGCCACGAAACUGGUUACUUCCCGAUGCUAUAAGGGCCAUAUUUUGGAUUCAUACAUCAGGACUCUGUACCACCGUAGACAAGACAUUCUUUUGCUUCUGUGUGUUUAAACUAUUUCUCUGUACAACAGUAAAUCAUUCUUACCCAGGUUGUGUCUAGGUUGGAGUGCUUUGGUGCCUGCAGGGGUUGCUUUGACAACUAGAAUAUUUGUUGGGGAUCAGUUGAGCCUAGCAUCUGUUUGAGCUUCUCAUACUAAAUACAGUCCAAAGUGGUUGUUAUCUCUUUCGAUUCUGAGUGUCCCAUUGCAUGUGGCAUUUCUCAGGAAAAGGAACAUCAUCUUUGGC
rnacentral:lncRNA from 10 species